rnacentral:rRNA from 1 species
UUUGGGCGUGUCUCCCUUCUCGGGAGACUCUCUCAACCCCACGAACCCUUGACCUCAAAUCGGGUGAGACUACCCGCUGAACUUAAGCAUAUCAAUAAGCGGAGGAAAAGAAACUAACAAGGAUUCCCCUAGUAACUGCGAGUGAAGCGGGAAAAGCUCAAAUUUAAAAUCUGGCGGUCUCUGGCCGUCCGAGUUGUAAUUUAGAGAAGC